ACACAUGCAAGUCGAACGAAGUAGCAAUACUUAGUGGCAGACGGGUGAGUAACAUGUAGGUAUCUGCCCUUUGGCCUGGAAUAACACGAGGAAACUUGUGCUAAUACCGGAUAAGUCUUUACGGAGAAAGCUUUAUGCACCAUUGGAUGAGCCUGCACUUGAUUAGUUUGUUGGUAGGGUAAUGGCCUACCAAGACUGUGAUCAAUAGCUGAUUUGAGAGGAUGAUCAGCCACAUUGGGACUGAGACACGGCCCAAACUCCUACGGGAGGCAGCAGUGGGGAAUCUUGCACAAUGGAGGAAACUCUGAUGCAGCGAUGCCGCGUGAGUGAAGAAGGCCCUUGGGUUGUAAAGCUCUUUCGUCGGGGAAGAAAAUGACUGUACCCGAAUAAGA
rnacentral:rRNA from 1 species